GGCCUGGUAGCUUAAUGGUAAAAGCAAGGGUUGGGUAGGAGCCUGUUGACGAGGAAGGCUCCCGCACAAGUCGAUCCGGGUUCGAGUCCCGGCUGGGUCU